rnacentral:misc_RNA from 1 species
UUUCCGUAGGUGAACCUGCGGAAGGAUCAUUAUUGUAAAACCGAGGUGCGAGGGCUGUCGCUGACCCGAAAGGUCGUGCACGUCCGAGUGCCCUCACACACAUCCAUCUCACCCCUAUGUGCACCACCGCGUGGGUCCCCCUUUGGCUUGUUCGGAGGGGGGCUUACGUUUUCACACAAACUUUGUAUGCAGUGUAGAAUGUAUUUUUUGUUUUUGCGAUCACGCAAUCAAUACAACUUUCAACAACGGAUCUCUUGGCUCUC